UACGGAGGGUGCAAGCAUUAAUCGGAAUUAUUGGGCGUAAAGGGCGCGUAGGCAGAAAGCCAAGUCAGAUGUGAAAUACCAAAGCUCAACUUUGGUGCUGCAUUUGAAACUGGCUUUCUAGAGGGUUGACGGAGAAAACGGAAUUCCACGUGUAGCGGUGAAAUGCGUAGAUAUGUGGAAGAACACCAGUGGCGAAAGCGGUUUUCUAGUUUAUACCUGACGCUGAGGCGCGAGAGCAAGGGGAGCAAAC
rnacentral:rRNA from 1 species